rnacentral:rRNA from 1 species
GUCGAGCGGGCCUUUCGGGGUCAGCGGCGGACGGGUGAGUAACGCGUGGGAACGUGCCCUCUGGUUCGGAAUAACUCAGGGAAACUUGAGCUAAUACCGGAUACGCCCUUUUGGGGAAAGGCUUGCUGCCGGAGGAUCGGCCCGCGUCUGAUUAGCUAGUUGGUGAGGUAACGGCUCACCAAGGCGACGAUCAGUAGCUGGUCUGAGAGGAUGAUCAGCCACACUGGGACUGAGACACGGCCCAGACUCCUACGGGAGGCAGCAGUGGGGAAUAUUGGACAAUGGGCGCAAGCCUGAUCCAGCCAUGCCGCGUGAGUGAUGAAGGCCUUAGGGUUGUAAAGCUCUUUUAUCCGGGACGAUAAUGACGGUACCGGAGGAAUAAGCCCCGGCUAACUUCGUGCCAGCAGCCGCGGUAAUACGAAGGGGGCUAGCGUUGCUCGGAAUCACUGGGCGUAAAGGGCGCGUAGGCGGCGUUUUAAGUCGGGGGUGAAAGCCUGUGGCUCAACCACAGAAUGGCCUUCGAUACUGGGACGCUUGAGUAUGGUAGAGGUUGGUGGAACUGCGAGUGUAGAGGUGAAAUUCGUAGAUAUUCGCAAGAACACCGGUGGCGAAGGCGGCCAACUGG